ACCCAGGCUGGAGUGCAGCAGCGCGAUCUCAGCUCACUGCAACCUCCGUCUCCUGGGUUCAAGUGAUUCUCCUGCCUCAGCCUCCCGAGUAGGUGGGAUUACAGGCCCCUGCCACCACGCCUGGCUGAUUUCUUGUAUUUUAGUAGAUAUGAGGUUUCACCAUGUUGGCCCAGGCUGGUCUCGAACUCCUGAACUCAGGAAGCCAUCAUUCUUUAGAGGGCAAUGACCAAACAGUACCAGCAGAAAUUGAAGUACCAGCAGAAGGCUAAGAAGG
rnacentral:lncRNA from 1 species